rnacentral:tRNA from 2 species
GACAAUUAGUUUAUUUAAAAUAAGUGAUUUCGACUCAUUAGAACAUGAACAUAACCGUGAUUGUCA